rnacentral:lncRNA from 1 species
UAUACCCACUUAGAUAGGACCCUCUUGUCUAGGCAUAAAAACUUCUGGCAAAUUUGUGCUCUGAAUUCCCUAACCUAUAUCUGGGUCACGUUGAUUCUUCCCACUGAUCCUGCCCUUAGCAACAAUGUUUUGUUGACUAUCUCCCUAGGCUUCCUGUCUGUUGUUAGGUUCCAUGGAAACAUGUAUGUUGAGAAUGAAACAGUGUGCCAAGUAGAUAUGUGAUCAUGAGGGUAUAAAAUACAGCCAAAGUGGAGCAGUUUAUCCUGUGAAAACUGUGCUGUGGAUUGAAUGCGGAAAGCUGAGUCCCAUCCAUCAUUUCACUGACAGUGUCCCACCUCCAAGACCCUAUUCCCUGUGGGAGAUUGGCCCACCCCACAGCAUUGAGACAGUAAAGAAUGCUUCAUUCCUGCUGAACUUUCCAGAGGAUUCCAGGUGGGCAGAUGUAAUAACGCAUGUUGGCAGUUGGCCAGACCACAAGGACUAAUAGCCAAGCCCGUGUGCUGAAGGAUGCUUCGUGACCUCAAAUAUCUAGCAUCAUGGCUGUAUGUCUUUUCUGAAAAACCCACCCCAAACCAGUUAACAAAUUGGAGGCUCUGACUUAAACCUUUACUCAAUGGGCUUCACAGAGUUUGAGUAGGUUUAAUUGGGUUAAAAAUAAAGGCAGAAGCCAGAGAAAACCAUUUGUUUCCAAAGACAUCAGCCAAGCCUGAGAAGAACCCUUUCUGCUGCCUGGUUACAGAUAGAAGAGACAGGUUUUGACAGCCUGUUUGUUUAUCCUGGUGUCAGGAAUGGGAUUUCUGCCAAGAAAAGCAAAAGAACAUUGACAUCCUCUAAAUGUGAAAUAUAUAUGCAUAUAUUAUAUCUAUGUAUGUAUUAUAGUUUACAUAGAUACAUUAAAUUUUGUUUUGUUCAGUCAUUUCAGCCAUGCUGUUACUCUUUGUUGAUCCCAUUUGGAGUUUUCUUGACAAAGAUGUAGAAUGGUUUGCCAUUUCCUUCUCUAGUUCAUUUUACAGAUGAGAAAAAUGAGGGGAAAUAGGGUUAAGUGACUUACCCAGAAUCACAUAGCUAGUGUAAGACUGGAUUUGAACUCAGAUCUUCUUGACUCUAGUCCCAGCCUCUAUCCACUAUACCACCUAGUUUUUAUAAAUUACAUAUAUUUGUAUAUAAAUUUAAAACAUUU